AUUGAACGCUGGCGGCAGGCCUAACACAUGCAAGUCGAACGAGUGGCGGACGGGUGAGUAAUGUCUGGGAAACUGCCCGAUGGAGGGGGAUAACUACUGGAAACGGUAGCUAAUACCGCAUACCAUCGGAUGUGCCCAGAUGGGAUUAGCUAGUAGGGGGGGGAACGGCUCACCUAGGCGACGACCCCUAGCUGGUCUGAGAGGAAGACCAGCCACACUGGAACUGAGACACAGUCGAGGCGCCUACGGGAGGCAGCAGUGGGGAAUAUUGGACAAUGGACGCAAGCCUGAUGCAGCCAUGCCGCGGGGAUGAAGAAGGCCUUCGGGUUGUGAAGUACUUUCAGCGAGGAGGCGGUACUCGCUGAAGAAGCACCGGCUAACUCCGUGCCAGCAGCCGCGGUAAUAC
rnacentral:rRNA from 1 species